GGUGAAGGAUGAGCCCGCGGCCUAUCAGCUUGUUGGUGGGGUGAUGGCCUACCAAGGCGACGACGGGUAGCCGGCCUGAGAGGGCGACCGGCCACACUGGGACUGAGACACGGCCCAGACUCCUACGGGAGGCAGCAGUGGGGAAUAUUGCACAAUGGGCGAAAGCCUGAUGCAGCGACGCCGCGUGAGGGAUGACGGCCUUCGGGUUGUAAACCUCUUUCAGCAGGGAAGAAGCGAAAGUGACGGUACCUGCAGAAGAAGCGCCGGCUAACUACGUGCCAGCAGCCGCGGUAAUACGUAGGGCGCAAGCGUUGUCCGGAAUUAUUGGGCGUAAAGAGCUCGUAGGCGGCUUGUCACGUCGGAUGUGAAAGCCCGGGGCUUAACCCCGGGUCUGCAUUCGAUACGGGCUAGCUAGAGUGUGGUAGGGGAGAUCGGAAUUCCUGGUGUAGCGGUGAAAUGCGCAGAUAUCAGGAGGAACACCGGUGGCGAAGGCGGAUCUCUGGGCCAUUACUGACGCUGAGGAGCGAAAGCGUGGGGAGCGAACAGGAUUAGAUACCCUGGUAGUCCACGCCGUAAACGUUGGGAACUAGGUGUUGGCGACAUUCCACGUCGUCGGUGCCGCAGCUAACGC
rnacentral:rRNA from 1 species